UGGCCAAAAUUUGAGAAUAUGUGAAGUAGUGACUUAUUUGGCUAUAUAAGGUUAAGGUGGGGUUUAAUUUUUUUACUGCAUUACAGAAAUAGGGUUAUCUUCUUCGAUUACAGCAUUGUAGAAAUGUAGUGAGAGGAAAUGUCAAAAUAUGUGUCCCUUUCCUCAUGCAACAAUAGCAGUUUAGGUAUUCUCUCUGUGUUAUCAAUUAUUUGAAGCUUAUGUCUAUCAUAUUCUUUCACUCAACAGGACUGAAAUAAACUCUGAGUAUGCUAACAAUGCUUUUCCAUCCAUUCUGCCUUUCUACCAUGCUGCUGCUGUUGCUGUUCUACUUGAUUUUGAAUGGAAUAUGCAUGCUCUUAGCUACCGAGCAUAGCAGGUGUCAGCAUUUGCCUGCAAUGUUUAAAGAAAUGCUCAACCUAAAAGCUUCACACGGAACAGUAAUAUAGGAUUUUCUGUAAUAUUUGAUACUUGCACGAGCAUGAAUCGGGUGUUUAAUCCUUCAUCGUUUUUGUCGGUCUUUAAUCCUUGUCAUUCUUGAUCCGAGUUUGAGAAAACUUCAUCUUACAAUACUCUGUAGAGAGGUAACAUGAUUAAUCAGCACACUUUGCAUUUUUUCCUUUUGGUUGAAAGGACAGAGUAUGGUGAAUCUUAGGAACGGUAAACAGACAUGUCCGCCUAGUAUAGAUUUGUAUAAACCUGAAAAAAUUGAGGUGGGACUGAAGACACAAGAUAUAUGGUUUUAGACGGAGGGAGGAGGAACAGACUUUUCUCUACAAUCUUCACUUAUAUAUUCAAAUGUCUUUAUGUUUUACAAAGAGGUCUGGUCCUUAUAUAGAGAUAAGGCCAGACAAGAAAGGACAAGUAAUUAAAUGCAGUAAUGAAUACUAUCAGGU